CCUACGGGGGGCUGCAGUAGGGAAUCUUUCACAAUGGGCGAAAGCCUGAUGGAGCAACGCCGCGUGCAGGAUGAAGGCCUUCGGGUUGUAAACUGCUUUUAUAAGCGAGAAAUAUGAUGGUAACUUAUGAAUAAGGAUCGGCUAACUAAGUGCCAGCAGCCGCGGUCAUACGUAGGAUACGAACAUUAUCCGGAGUGACUGGGUGUAAAGAGUUGCGUAGGUGGCAUAAUAAGUAGCUAGUGAAAUCUGGUGGCUCAACCAUUCAGACUAUUGGCUAAACUGGUAAGCUCGAGACCGUUAGGGGUAACUGGAAUUUCUAGUGUAGGAGUGAAAUCCGUAGAUAUUAGAAAGAACACCAAUAGCGUAGGCAGGUUGCUGGGACGGUUCUGACACUAAGGCACGAAAGCGUAGGGAGCAAACGGGAUUAGAUACCCUGGUAGUC
rnacentral:rRNA from 1 species